GCACCUUCGGGAGCCUGCCAGGUCUGCUGUGAAGUGUGGCGUGGGCCUCGAGUAAGGACACGGCAGCAUCCCACAGGUGUAGGGCAGCUGCCUGCACGCGCUCACAGUUAACAACCCAGCAGACACUGGGAAACAGGAUCUUCGUAAAAAUCAGGCAAUGGCUACUAGCAUUAUCGACUCACACACACACAUACACACCACGCACCACACACACACACCUAUCACACCACACACCCCACACACCACACCCACCCACCAUACCACAUACACAGACACCCACCACACACACCACACACACACACACACCACACACACCACACCACAUACCACACCACACACACCCACCACACACACACCCCCACCACACCACACACCACACACACACACACCACACACCACACCACACACCACACACACACACACCACACCACACCACACACCACACCACACACACACAUACACACACACCACAAACCACACACACCACACACGACACACACACACCACACUACAUACACAGACACCCACCAUACACACACACCACACACCACACCACACACACCAAACCACAGACCCAGACCCCCACCACACACACAUCACACACACCACACACCACACACACACAUAACACAUACACACACACCACACACACCACACCACACACACACACCACACACACACAUCACACAUACACACCACACCACACACACCACACCACACACCACACCACACACACACCACACCACAUACACAGACACCCACCACACACACACACCACACACCACACCACACACACCAUACCACAUACACAGACACCCACCACACACACAUCACACACACCACACACACACACACACACACAUAACACAUACACACACACUACACCACACACACACACCACACACACACAUAACACAUACACACACACCACACCACACACACACACCACACACACACAUAACACAUACACACACACCACACCACACACACACAUAACACAUACACACACACCACACUACACAUACACACCACACCGCACACACCACACCACACACCACACCACACACACACACACCACACACAAUUUAUCUU
rnacentral:lncRNA from 1 species